rnacentral:misc_RNA from 1 species
GCUGAAUUGGCACAUGAACCGGUUGACACGGCAAACACUUUCCACACUUGGAUCUACAAGUAGGCGGCGAAGAACCUGGUCCACUGAGUUGUUUCUGAGUGAGAACUCUGUCAAAUGCCCUUAAGCCUCUUUCUCUUUCCCUUUUAUACCCCCUUUCUGGAAACCCACUACCGAGUAGGGACAGAGUGGCAACUGCGGAAGAUAAGAAAAGGAUAAAAGUGAGGGCAGUGAGUAGCGUGGAUAGGUAGCGGAGGCGGUGGCGGAAGAGGGCCAUCGCCGAGGUGGAGGUAAGGAAACAACAAGUGUUGUGUAGUGCAGAAGUAGGAAGGGAAAGGGUCUAACAGGGAAGCA